rnacentral:rRNA from 1 species
AGCGAAAAGGAAAGGUCUAGAGGCAAAGGGGUAAAGCGAACUCUAGCGGUGCGGGUGCGAAGAGCAGGUGACGGACGGGGAAGAGGGGGAAGAGUGGGUGGACAAACUGCGUGGCUGCUUCGCCGGUACUAGGUCGACGACAAGUGCGACGACCGGCGGCUCCGUCGCGACCACGAGCACGACGAGAAGGCGUGCGGGCGAGCUGCGGAGCGCGACGAGCGGCACCUGACGUCGUUCGCGCCGGCGCCCGGGGAUUACCGGUCCUGGCAGCGCCGGUGGUACAAGCAGCACGAGCCGAGGUCGCCGAUGUCGUAGCGGUUCUAGGCCGCGGCGCUUCCGCUCAAGCGGGUCGAGUGCGGGUGUCUGGUCCACGAGCGGUCGGCGGUGGAGGAGCUCCGGAGCGAGUACCCUAUGAGAGACAAAGAACCCGAUUAAUAACUAGCUGACGUAGUGAUAUAGUCCGUUAAUGCCCGCUACUUCUUUUUGUACCUCCGACACUGUUUCGUCUCGUCCCAGAACCUUCUUUGUUUUGAGCCUCUGAGACUCCUUUAAGUUCCUAUAGUCUUUUUCUAACUGUCAAACUUACUUGUCCACGUUCAUGAGUUUGUGGUCAGUCUUAGAGUUUGUGUCCUCGAUUUUUGACGACUUUACUUAUUAAACCGAAAUGUUUUUGUUAGACUUCCAAACGAAUGACUUAUACUCGCAGAUUAACGCCUCUUACUCCUUAACUCCUUAUUCGACGUUUGUUACCUGGAGGCGAAGAGGGCAAGACUGUCGUUCUUUUUAUGUAUCACUUCACAUGCAAAAUGGACAACUUGGAGUCGAUGACAUUUAAAAACAGGAUAUUACAAUAAGACACGUAUGAAUAUCUGCAUGUAAGUAAAAGUCUAGGUUUCUUGUAUUAAUAUAGACGACCCCCAUAACAAAACUCACCUUUGCCCACCGAUUAGUACAUUAGGAUCAGUAAAUGGGCUACUCGUCCUUUACAUGUUAUAUGCUUACAGAAAAUACUAUAAACGACGGUCAGCUAGUUGUCUAACGGAGAAGUAAAUAGAUAGUGACAGAGUGAAAAUUUCAAGAUAACCGUAUACUUGUGUGCCG